rnacentral:rRNA from 1 species
GGAUCUCUUAAAGCCGUUCUCAGUUCGGACUGUAGGCUGCAACUCGCCUACACGAAGCUGGAAUCGCUAGUAAUCGCGGAUCAGCACGCCGCGGUGAAUACGUUCCCGGGCCUUGUACACACCGCCCGUCACACCAUGAGAGUCUGUAACACCCAAAGCCGGUGGGAUAACCUUUAUAGGAGUCAGCCGUCUAAGGUAGGACAGAUGAUUAGGGUGAAGUCGUAACAAGGUACC